UUAUCCCACAUGUUUUAAUUUCCCUGAAUCACCCAUGCAAUGUCCGACUGAUAAAACGGUGUACAAAAAUAGUGGUUAGACAAACAGAUUCUGAAGACAUUAAGAUUCGAAAUUAAAAACCACAGGGCAAGGUGUGAGAUUGCUGAAACGAAUAAUGGCAACAUCAUACAAAUUACACCCUGUUUGUUACAAAAUGUGUGGAGUAUCUUUGAGAAUCUGUUAGAGGGGAUGUAAUACCUCAUUCUUGUGAUCUCCUAAGCCUUGUAAUUCUUGCAACCAGCAUACACAUAGAGAACAAAAGAAUUUCCAUCUCAUACAGAAAAUGUGUGUCUAUAUUCAGGCACACAUAAUCUUACCCCAAAACGAAGAAAACUGAUAAAUGUACACAUGAUAUUCCUGUAAGAAUUUGCCAAGAAUAUCAAGAAUGAGAAAGCAUGAGCACCAUAUUUAGUAGGGUGCAGGGACCUGUAACUCACCAAUCGCUUGAUAGCCAAAUUAGAGAGGGGGGCAAAACGCAUAAAUAUGAAAGCAGUGCAUUUGCUGCUCGGAAAGGUGAUGAUGGCCCUGUUCUGUCCAAGGUCAACAACCCCAAACGAACUCUAGCCUGCCAAUCACAUGGUCAGCAGCUGAAACAAACACAAACCAUACAAUCAGGUGAACCUGGACAGGAGGAGGAGGAGCUGAUUCUGUACCCUGUAGAUGAG
rnacentral:lncRNA from 1 species